rnacentral:rRNA from 5 species
AUUAUUCAUAACGACUCUCGGCAACGGAUAUCUCGGCUCUCGCAUCGAUGAAGAACGUAGCGAACUGCGAUACUUGGUGUGAAUUGCAGAAUCCCGUGAACCAUCGAGUCUUUGAACGCAAGUUGCGCCCAAAGCUUCGGCUGAGGGCACGUUUGCCUGGGUGUC